UCCGGUUUGACACCGGCAGUCCCCCUAGAGUCCCCGGCAUGACCCGCUGGCAACUAGGGGCAGGGGUUGCGCUCGUUGCGGCACUUAAGCCAACACCUCACGGCACGAGCUGACGACAGCCAUGCAGCACCUGUGCAGGGCCCCGAAGGACACGGGCUUUCACCCGCUUUACCCUGCAUGUCAAACCCAGGUAAGGUUCUUCGCGUUGCAUCGAAUUAAUCCGCAUGCUCCGCCGCUUGUGCGGGCCCCCGUCAAUUCCUUUGAGUUUCAUUCUUGCGAACGUACUCCCCAGGUGGUAUGCUUACUGCGUUAACUGCGUCACCGAACCCGAAAGCCCGACAACUAGCAUACAUCGUUUACAGCGUGGACUAC
rnacentral:misc_RNA from 1 species